rnacentral:rRNA from 1 species
UACAGAGGUCUCAAGCGUUGUUCGGAAUCACUGGGCGUAAAGGGUGCGUAGGUGGCGUGGCAAGUCAGAUGUGAAAGCCCGGGGCUCAACCUCGGAACUGCAUCCGAUACUGCCAUGCUAGAGUACUGAAGAGGUGACUAGAAUUCUCGGUGUAGCAGUGAAAUGCGUAGAUAUCGAGAGGAACACCUGCGGCGAAGGCGGGUUGCUGGGCUGACACUGACGCUGAUGCGCGAAAGCUAGGGGAGCGAACGGG